GGCACAACUCCAUCCCGUGGCACUUAAAUCCUUUCUAAGAUUUACCCUGGUAAGGGUAUCAGAUUUGUACGGUCAAAUUCUCGUGUAAUAUUUGCCGUAAUCGGCAUAAGUAUUCUGAAUUUGGCAAUGUGGUUGUAUCUAAUCUGCCUCUGGUGGUUCAAGUAACAUAAAUUUUGUUGGAUUCCACAUAAGUGGUAAGCUGUAGGAAUUAAUGAUUUGUUAAAACUUUAGGAUGUUUGACAUUGUACAAAAUUCUUUGGCUAUUUACCCUCGGGUUUCGCCAGUUGUUCUAGCUAUUCCUAUUCGCCAAUUCCGAAUUAAACCAGCAAAGCUUGCCUGGAGUCCUGGACUGCCAUGUAUAGAAAGCAGCAUAAAAAGGAAAUCUACUAUAGAUUCUUAUAGGCUUGCUUAUUUUUCAAAACGAGAGCAAGAUAUCAAGGCUGAAAUGGUAAGAAGAGGUCAAUAGUUGGAGCUUCCUUAGAGGUGAUUCAGAAGAAAAGAACUGAGAAGGCUAAGUCCGGAAUGCUGCCCAGGAAGAUGCUCUUCGGCUUCUAUAGAAGUGCUACUUGAGUAUAGCUAUUUGAGGACCACCUGCCAACUUUUUGAUUAAAAUUUGCGAGAUAGAGCGUCUAUUGGAGGGAGAAGAGAGGAGGAAAAUCCCAACCGGCAAAAGCUACAAUGGCAAAACUAGCAGACCUACGAGUAGAGUGUCUAUUGGAAGGAGAAGAGAGGAGGGAUGUGGACUACUUUCCAGUGUUCUGCAGAAAGAGAGUGAUGUAUCAGGGAAGAAGAAGAAGCCUCUGAAGCGGGUUGUGGUUUGGGCGGACGAGGUAGGUGGGGAAUUACUGAACGUCUUCAGGAGCCUUGAAGAUGCUAAAACGACUUUAGCUGCUUCCGGCAAGGCCACUCUCCGAGACCAAACGAAACCCUUUAAUGUUUAUCAGCAAAGGGGAACGCUUAGGUUUCCUUCAGGCGGAUUUUGCUGAUUACUGCGACUAGUGGGCUGAUUUUUUUCCUAUCCAGUGUGGAUGCGUGUCAUCUGCCUCCGCCCGGUGCAGGGGGGAUGCGGAUGUUAGGGACAGCGUCCCUUGCAGGAUUUUCGGAGCGGAGGAAGCGGACCUUGACAGACUGUUCUCGUCCACAGCAUUCUCCUCCACGGACCUCCCUCCCGUGGAGGCCUCGCCUCUCGCAGUCAGCGGGGCGCCUCCCCCACUUCUCUCUCGAAGCCCGGCUUUCGCCCCCUGUAGCCUGGACUUGAUGGGUGACGGCAAGGGAGGGACCAGCAAGCGCCUCGCAGGGACCGAAAAGGAUUCUAUAAUGUCCAAGGCGAUGUUACGAAAGAUCAGUAUGCGCGAAGGCGGGAAAACUAGGGGGAGCAGAUCUGCAGUAUCGAAGACCAUCUUCAAGGGCCGACUCUGUGGGGUGAACUUGGGCGCUAGUGAGGCGGAGAAUUUCACGGCGUUCCUGAAUGAAAGUGUGUAGGCGGGGAUAGUGUAGUGUCAGCAAACACUGUUUUGGGUUUUCGUGGUGGGUGCCUCCGGCUUAGUUAUGUUUCGAGUCUGUAGUUGGAACAUUCGAGGGCUUAAUGACCCUUCUAAAUGUAGUGCUAUUAGCGAAGUGGUGUCUAAAUUUUGUAAUACGGUGGUUUUUAUCCAAGAGUCGAAAGUCGAUCAUGUAUCCAAGUCCUUCUUAAGUAGUUUUGGUGGUCCUUCGCUGAA